GGAUAUAGUUAGCAAGUCAGAAAACAUUCGAAUGAAAAUGCCAUGAGAGACAAAUUAGUCUGCUGGUUUCUUAAAAAUUUAGCUGUGGAUCCCUUUCUCCAAAUGAAUUCUUAAGGGGCUAUGAGCUUAGUCACUCAGACACGUCCAACUCUUUGCGACCCCCAGGCUCCUCUGUGCAUAGGAUUUUCCAGCCCACAGUGGGCUACCAUUUCCUCCAAAGGAUCUUCCUAACCCUAGGAUUGAACCCGCAUCUGCUGUGUCUCCCAGAUUGCAGGCAGAUUCUUUACCAGGUGAGCCAUCAGGGAAACUCUUAAGGGAUGGCCUAGUAUUUAAACUGUUAAGGUUGGAGCUCGUUGGGUUGCUAUGGGCAUGGGGGCCUGAGACCAGGCAGUGGCACGACAAGGGGAGACGGGAAGCCCCCAGCUGCAGAGAUGAGUGGGGCUUUCGUUGUGGUCUUCAGCACAAGCACCUGUGUUUCGCUGCUCAUCUGUCAGGGAAGGUAAAAGAAACUCAAGGAGGAGGAGAACUGAUUCAAUGGACCAGGGAAUGCAAUUGGGAGGGGGCUGAUGGAAUGCUUCAACUGGCUGAACCUGACCAUACUUCUGCUGGGAACUGCACAUCCUGGAAAAGCACCUGGGCUUGAGCCUGUAAGAACAUAAAUCCGCCACAGGAGAACAAGGUCUCAAACAGGAAUUCCGGGGCCCAGAUCUGUCCACUAUGUGUACUGGUCAUAGCGAUUUCUAGAAGAAAGGUUUUGAUACUGCUGCCAAACUAUGGCUCAUAAACAUAUGCCAAGUGAGCUGUUUUCCAUGGGGAUGGCUCAUCCAGCUGGCGUCAUCCUACACGGGCAUGGAAACAGCUUUAUGGAAAGGCUGGCUUUGUGCCAUUACCAAGAGGACAGAGCAACCUUGAGGCCCUUGGACAUGAAACCCCACCCCUGUUGCUCUGUGCCCGGGCUUGCACAUCAGACCUCCCUGGGACACGGUGGCCCUCCAGGUCUGCAACUCCACCAUCUUUCACGAGUCAGCUACAGUGAGAUGAAGAAUGGCCCUCUCAGGUCCUCACUUGUCCUGCCUCUCAUGGGCUUCCCAUUUGGACCCAAGAACAUUGCAAUCAGCUCACCUUGACAGAGGUCUGUUCUGAAUGGUUCUCCUUCCUCCACAAAAUUCCUUGCAGAUUUCUGAAGACAGUCCACUGAAGACUUCACAGUCUGGGAGCCCAGGCCUUGUGGACCAAGACAACUGAACCAGUGCAACCUCCUCCAUGGCUGUCCCUGCUCCGGAGGAUGACUGGCCAGGAGGGCCGUAUGGGUAAAUUGUAAAUGGGACUGAGAAAGCCCUGGGCAUAAUCAGAAGCCUCCACACUGUUACUGCUGCCUCUAGGACUGGCUUAGCACACAGAGGAAAGACAUGCCCUCGGGGACAACAUAGUCACAGCCGGCUGUGUGAAUUACCCAUACCCGGCUCCAACCUCUCCACUUCUUAACAGAAUUGAUACACAGGCAAGGACAGCUAGGAUCAUUGGACACUAAAUCCUGAAGACAACAGCACUGUGACCAUCUUAGGAAAUGAAUAGUGAAAGUGUUGUAACUUCU
ensembl:lncRNA